rnacentral:lncRNA from 1 species
UAAUUUUUAAAUAUAAAUUUUAAUUUUAAUUUUAAUUUUUAAAUUUUAAAAAUUUGUAAUUUAUAAUCUUAAAUUAAUAUUAUUAUUUUUAAAUUUUAAAUUUUAAAUUUUAUUUUUAAUUAUUUAAAAUUUAAAUUUGACAUUUUAUAUUGGAAAUUUUAAAAAUAUAUAAUUUGCAAUCUUAAAAUUAAUAUUUAAAAUUUUAAAUUUUAAAUUUUAAAUUUUAAAUUCUGCGCCAGCGCCGGCGCCCACCCCUCACCCGUGCCAGCGCCCGCUCGCGCCCCGCGCCCUCGUUCGCGCCUCCGCCUCCCGCUGCCACGU